ensembl:lncRNA
AUCGAGCCCCAGUACAGCCCAGUACAGCCCAGUACAGCCCAGUGCCACCAGUUCUAUCCCAGUACAGCCCAGUACAGCCCAGUGCCACCAGUUCUAUCCCAGUACAGCCCAGUACAGCCCAGUGCCACCAGUUCUAUCCCAGUACAGCCCAGUACAGCCCAGUGCCACCAGUUCUAUCCCAGUCUAUCCCAGUACCAGCCAGUACAGCCCAUUGCCACAGUUCUAUCCCAGCUAGCAGCCAGUACAGGCCCAUUGCCACCAGUUCUUCCCCAGACAAGCCAGUUACAGUACAGCCCAGUGCCACCCAGUCAUAUUCCCAGUACAGGCCCAGUGCUCCCAGUUCAUAUUCCAGUAACAGUCCAGUACAGCCCAGUGCUCCCAGUGUGCCACCAGUCUUUAUCCAGUACAGCCCAGUGCCCCGUCCAGUUCCCUCCCAGUCCUUCCCAGUAUGUCCCAGUCCCUCCAGUAUGUCUCAGUCCCUCCCAGUGCUCAGGAGGACCCUCUUGAGGGUCCUUUCUCCAGUGCCCCCAGCCCGGUGCCCCCAUCCAU